rnacentral:rRNA from 1 species
CGGGGGGGGGGGCAAGCGUUGUUCGGAAUUACUGGGCGUAAAGGGCGCGCAGGCGGCCUGACAAGUCCCUCGUGAAAUCCCACAGCUCAACUGUGGAACUGCGGGGGAUACUGCCGGGCUUGAGUCCGGGAGAGGAGAGUGGAAUUCCCAGUGUAGCGGUGAAAUGCGUAGAUAUUGGGAGGAACACCGGUGGCGAAGGCGGCUCUCUGGACCGGUACUGACGCUGAGGCGCGAAAGCUAGGGGAGCAAACGGGAUUAGAUACCCCGGUAGUCCUAGCUGUAAACGUUGAGCACUUGGUGUGGCGGGUAUCGACCCCUGCCGUGCCGAAGCUAACGCAUUAAGUGCUCCGCCUGGGGAGUACGGUCGCAAAGGCUG